AUAAAGAGAUUGUAUGUGCUAAAGGGGGAAACAUGCCCCAGAACAAGAGUUAAUAAAGGUUUCCAAAAUUAUUGUUAAGGGGAAAAAUAAAGGUAGUGUUUAUCCUAGCCAACCAGGAAAUGGGCUUAGGAGCGGCCAUUUUUUAAAGACCUUGUAAUAGAGCACUGGUCUUUACAAUUUUUGUAUUGUAUUGAUAGAUGCACCUAAAAUUUAACGGAUCUAAACAAUAUACCGAGACCUUGUCCAUGUAUUUUUAUAUUUAUAAGUUACAUAUAAUAUAUAUGGGGUAGCGGAACGUUGGGCAUAUCUCAGACUUUUUCUUUUUAAGACUUAAGAUUAGAUGACCCAAGUGAUAAUGCUGGCAAGAGUAACGAUAAAGGGUUUAUACCCUGGCCUAAAGCUUAUGGAAUUUACGUAAAGUAACGGCCUUUUAGUUUAAGUUUGCUUUACUUUAUUGGGUUCUUUAGCUUUAAUUAAAAACGUGAUAAAGUAAAGUUACCUAAUGGUAUAAACGAUGAGAAAAAAUUUAAGUUUUCCAGAAAAUAAGAAUGGAUACUUAUGGAAACAUGGAAUUGUAAAGUUGAAAAGGGUAUUAAAGUUUUCGUUAAAGAAAAAAAAAAUAUUUAGUAGGUUUUGACUAAACACACUAUAUAAAUAGAAACAGCAUUUGGGUUAGUGGUAACUGGAACUAAGGUGCUGGUUGUACUAGCUAAAGUGACAAAUGGUCUGGAAAAAUGUAAAACUACAUGCUUAAUUAGAGUAUAGACGAGGCGGAUCGUCCGUUGUCCAUAAAAUGC
rnacentral:rRNA from 1 species